rnacentral:rRNA from 1 species
AUUGAACGCUGGCGGCAGGCCUUACACAUGCAAGUCGAACGGCAGCACGGGGCAACCUGGUGGCGAGUGGCGAACGGGUGAGUAAUGCAUCGGAACGUACCUUUCAGUGGGGGAUAACGUAGCGAAAGUUACGCUAAUACCGCAUAUUCUGUGAGCAGGAAAGCAGGGGAUCGCAAGACCUUGCGCUGAUUGAGCGGCCGAUGUCAGAUUAGCUAGUUGGUGAGGUAAAGGCUCACCAAGGCGACGAUCUGUAGCCGGUCUGAGAGGAUGAUCCGCCACACUGGAACUGGGACACGGUCCAGACUCCUACGGGAGGCAGCAGUGGGGAAUUUUGGACAAUGGGGGCAACCCUGAUCCAGCCAUGCCGCGUGAGUGAAGAAGGCCUUCGGGUUGUAAAGCUCUUUCGGCCGGGAAGAAAUCGCACGGGCUAAUACCCUGUGUGGAUGACGGUACCGGAAUAAGAAGCACCGGCUAACUACGUGCCAGCCGCCGCAGUAAUAC